AUUGAACGCUGGCGGCAGGCCUAACACAUGCAAGUCGAACGAGUGGCGGACGGGUGAGUAAUGUCUGGGAAACUGCCCGAUGGAGGGGGAUAACUACUGGAAACGGUAGCUAAUACCGCAUACCAUCGGAUGUGCCCAGAUGGGAUUAGCUCGUAGGUGGGGUAACGGCUCACCUAGGCGACGCUCCCUAGCUGGGCUGAGAGGAUGAGCAGACACAAUGGAACUGAGACACGGUCCAGACGCCUACGGGAGGCAGCAGUGGGGAAUAUUGCACAAUGGGCGAAAGCCUGAUGCAGCGACGCCGCGUGGGGGAUGAAGGCUUUCGGGUUGUAAACCUCUUUCGCUAUCGAACGGGUAGGUGGAGAAGAAGCACCGGCUAACUCCGUGCCAGCAGCCGCGGUAAUAC
rnacentral:rRNA from 1 species